GAUUGCUGCUAAUAAGGGGGAUGCUUAUACUGAAGCAAGAACAAAUGCGGGUCAGGAGGUCUAUGUGGGUGCGGCCUGCAUGGUUGAGAAGAAAGCAAGAGAGCGAGUACCAUACACUGUUUCAGGUUAUGAGGGAACAGGAUCCGGAGCUCUUCUUCAAAUAUUAUCGAAUGACCCCCGAACUCUUUGAUAUAAUUCAUGGCCGUGUGCGGGAAAGGCUCACAAAGAUGCACGUCGUACAGGAGCCCAUCUCAUCUGGCGAACGUCUGGCUAUGACAUUAAGGUAUCUAUGUUCAGGUAAUGCCAUUGUUGACAUCGCCAAGGACUUCCGUGUCGGGCUGGAGACUGCACGAGAAGCGAUCCACUUGACUCUCCAAGUGCUGUGGGAUGAUCUCGCUCCUCAGUAU